GGUUAGGAAAUCUGUCAUGCCUUUUUCCGGAAGAGGUAAAAGAAGAGAAAAAUACUGUAUUCUUGAAGAUGGUCCAAAGAAAGGGUCCGAAAAACGUUCGCUUUCACAGUAAUAAUUGUUGACUAAUUACAAUAAGAAUAGAGUGAAUCAAAAUGGGAAUGAAGACCUCAGAAUGAUGAGAGAUUUCAUUAAUGAAAAACGCCGAAUCUUAAUACAUAGUUAAACGAGAUAACGAUGUGGUAAUAUAUAUUUCAAAAUAUAAAAUUAAAAUUAGGAGAAAGGUUUCUGUUACUACUUACCUCCAUAAAGCCACUCUUUUGAAAAACAUCAAGAGACAUGAACCAAUCAACGAGUGUUGAUAAGACGAUAACUGACAAUGAGUGCUUUCUCUGCUGAACGCAGCCAAUCAAAUGUGUGGUUUGCAAGUCUAAGAGAUGACGGCGGCGGCACGGUGGGAAUAGUGUUCGCGCUUCUCUCUGUUAUCUCUACCGCUAAGUAGAGGUCAAAUAUGAUGUUCUUUGACAGGUACUUGUGUUACUGAUCCAAUAAAUUCCAUUCUUGAAUAUAUUGACCAUUUUAUUUAAUUUCUUUCGCGCGCACGGUGUGCGAAAUGAGACAACAUUUAAAAACCAAAUUAUAUAAAAUAUACGACUUGAAAAUUACAUUAUAUAAUAUAUAUAAACUGUAUAAAACGAAU